rnacentral:rRNA from 1 species
AGUGAACGCUGGCGGUAGGCCUAACACAUGCAAGUCGAACGGCAGCACAGUAAGAGCUUGCUCUUACGGGUGGCGAGUGGCGGACGGGUGAGGAAUACAUCGGAAUCUACUUUUUCGUGGGGGAUAACGUAGGGAAACUUACGCUAAUACCGCAUACGACCUACGGGUGAAAGCAGGGGAUCUUCGGACCUUGCGCGAUUGAAUGAGCCGAUGUCGGAUUAGCUAGUUGGCGGGGUAAAGGCCCACCAAGGCGACGAUCCGUAGCUGGUCUGAGAGGAUGAUCAGCCACACUGGAACUGAGACACGGUCCAGACGCCUACGGGAGGCAGCAGUGGGGAAUAUUGGACAAUGGGCGCAAGCCUGAUCCAGCCAUACCGCGUGGGUGAAGAAGGCCUUCGGGUUGUAAAGCCCUUUUGUUGGGAAAGAAAAGCAGCAGGUUAAUACCCCGCUGUUCUGACGGUACCCAAAGAGUAAGCACCGGCUAACUUCGUG